rnacentral:rRNA from 1 species
GACGAACGCUGGCGGCGUGCUUAACACAUGCAAGUCGAACGGAAAGGCGCUGCUUUGGUGGGGUGCUCGAGUGGCGAACGGGUGAGUAACACGUGAGUAACCUGCCCUUGACUUUGGGAUAACUUCAGGAAACUGGGGCUAAUACCGGAUAGGAGCUCCUGCUGCAUGGAGGGGGUUGGAAAGUUUCGGCGGUUGGGGAUGGACUCGCGGGUUAUCAGCUUGUUGGUGGGGUAGUGGCUUACCAAGGCUUUGAGGGGUAGCCGGCCUGAGCGGGUGACCGGCCACAUUGGGACUGCGAUACGGCCCAGUAGCGUACGGGAGGCAGCAGUGGGGAGUCUUGCACAAUGGGGGGAAGCCUGUUGCAGCAACGCCGCGUGCGGGAUGACGGCUUUCGGGUUGUAAACCGCUUUCGCCUGUGACGAAGCGUGAGUGACGGUAAUGGGUAAAGAAGCACCGGCUAACUACGUG